AUGUUUGUCUUACUUUCAGACUGUUCACUCCCCGAACCUCCAACAUGUCUGGUCACUCCUGCGAAUGCUACCAGAGUUUGUUCAGGAGUCAACAGUAACGAGACUCUCCUAUCCGCUGCACUCGUGAGCGCCCCCUGUAGUGUGGACCUGCAGCAAUACAUUUGCUCUUCGCUCACCGGCAUCACUGCUGGAAACCUGGCUGAACUCCUGAAGUGUCAACUUUCAAGCAGCAGAAGUUACUCCAAGGAGAUCUGGAAACUAUUUUUCACCAAAGCAAAUGAUGUUCUGGACGGAGCCCUCGUCAUAUUCUCCAGCGCAGCAGCAAAUAUGUCUCAGCCAAUCAGAGGUGAUGUCGUGUCCCAAGUGCUGGAUGUGGUUGGAGAGCUGAGACUGGAGCGCAUCAGUCCUGACCAAUGGACAGACCUCUCUUUCAUCAGCAUGUUGUUGGGUCAAUAUCUGAAGCCGUUUUUACCAUUUGCGUCACCAUCCCUACUGCUGUGCACCAGCAGCAAAAACCUCAGCUGCCAAACUUACCAGCACAUUCUGUCAGAGGUCCCACUCGUCAAUGAGAUUCAAGGAAGAGACAUGGCAAACUUCUUCAUUCUGCCCUUCCUGAGAAGAAACGCAACAGAUGCGGGCUGUGUGGCGACUGCUAACAACAGUGUUGAGUGGCUGCAGAAGAACUUUGGCCCGUUCUCUCAGUUCGUGUCUCUCACAGAUCUGAUCUCCAUCAACAGACUCUUUGAUCCCCUCGAGACCCUGUCUAAUCUCACUCCAGAGCAGAUGGUUGGACUGAUUGUUAAUACUCAGCCUGGUGUGCCACAGAAUUUCAUCAUUAAUACUGUUUUUGAUCAUCUGCUCGUGUCUCCUGUGCAACGAGGAUUUCCAGAUGUUCUUGAGCUCCUUUAUAUUUUCUCCACAAGGAAUCCACUCAGCUGUCAAACCAACCAGAUAAUCUUCACGAGGCUGGAGCAGAUCUUGAGCUCAGGAGCGGGUGAUCUGGAGCCUGUCAUCUGGAAGAGCCUUUAUAACUUCAGCAGCACGGCUCCUGCAGACUGCACUCUUCUUCCAGUCGUGAAUGAGUGUCCCGUGACUCCAUUCAACGAGACUCGGGUGUGCAGCGGAGUGGACAGUUCUGCAGCACAGCAGUGCUUGAACGAAGGACGGAUUUGUGGCUUCAGUAUUGCAGCACAUGCAUGUGCCCCGGUGCUGGAUGUGAACAUGGACUAUCUGGUCACACUACUGAACGCUCAUCUGUCUGUGGAUGACAUGAGCUCAGCUGAGAGCUGGAAACUCUUCCUGACCAGAGUCUCAAACCUGCUGGACGUCGCCCUCCUCCAGCUCUCCAACCAGUCGGUGUGGUGGAGCAGCAGCUCUGCCUCUGUGGCUCUGGACGUCCUGCGGGAGCUGCGUCUGGACAGACUGACGGAUGAGAGCGCUGUAGUGCUGUGGCUCGAUGAACACCUGCGAGCGUUCCUGCCCAGUGCGUCUGGGACGUUCCUGCAGUGUCUGCGCAGCCAGAACCUCAGCUGCCAGAGCUUCCAGACAGUGUAA
ensembl:lncRNA